rnacentral:rRNA from 1 species
AGGGAAUCUUCCACAAUGGACGAAGUCUGAUGGAGCAACGCCGCGUGAGUGAUGAAGGGUUUCGGCUCGUAAAACUCUGUUGUUGGAGAAGAACAGGUGUGAGAGUAACUGUUCACAUCUUGACGGUAUCCAACCAGAAAGCCACGGCUAACUACGUGCCAGCAGCCGCGGUAAUACGUAGGUGGCAAGCGUUGUCCGGAUUUAUUGGGCGUAAAGCGAGCGCAGGCGGUUUCUUAGGUCUGAUGUGAAAGCCUUCGGCUUAACCGGAGAAGUGCAUCGGAAACCAGGAGACUUGAGUGCAGAAGAGGACAGUGGAACUCCAUGUGUAGCGGUGAAAUGCGUAGAUAUAUGGAAGAACACCAGUGGCGAAGGCGGCUGUCUGGUCUGUAACUGACGCUGAGGCUCGAAAGCAUGGGUAGCGAACAGGAUUAGAUACCCUUGGU